rnacentral:rRNA from 1 species
GACGAACGCUGGAGGCGUGCUUAACACAUGCAAGUCGAACGAUGAAAUGGAGCUUGCUCCUUGGAUUAGUGGCGAACGGGUGAGUAACACGUGAAUAACCUGCCCUUAAUUUUGGAAUAACCCAGGGAAACCUGGGCUAAUACCGGAUAAGUAAACCUGUGGCAUCACAUGGUUUUGGAAAGUUUUUCGAUUAAGGAUGGAUUCGCGGCCUAUCAGCUUGUUGGUGAGGUAAUGGCUCACACAGGCGACGACGGGUAGCCGGCAUGAGAGGGUGAAGGGCCACACUGGGACUGAGACACGGCCCAGACUCCUACGGGAGGCAGCAGUGGUGAAUAUUGCGCAAUGGACGAAAGUCUGACGCAGCGACGCCUCGUGAGGGACGAAGGUCUUCGGAUUGUAAACCUCUUUCAGCAGGGACGAAGCGAAAGUGACGGUACCUGCAGAAGAAGCACCGGCUAACUAUGUGCCAGCCGCCGCCGUAA